GCCGGGGUGGCGGAAUUGGUAGACGCGCCGGAUUCAAAAUCCGGUUUUGGAAACAGAGUGGGGGUUCAAGUCCCCCCCCCGGCACCA
rnacentral:tRNA from 1 species